rnacentral:rRNA from 1 species
ACACUCCUGCGGGAGGCAGCAGUGGGGAAUUUUGGACAAUGGGCGAAAGCCUGAUCCAGCAAUGCCGCGUGCAGGAUGAAGGCCUUCGGGUUGUAAACUGCUUUUGUACGGAACGAAAAAGCUCCUUCUAAUACAGGGGGCCCAUGACGGUACCGUAAGAAUAAGCACCGGCUAACUACGUGCCAGCAGCCGCGGUAAUACGUAGGGUGCGAGCGUUAAUCGGAAUUACUGGGCGUAAAGCGUGCGCAGGCGGUUAUGUAAGACAGAUGUGAAAUCCCCGGGCUCAACCUGGGAACUGCAUUUGUGACUGCAUGGCUAGAGUACGGUAGAGGGGGAUGGAAUUCCGCGCGUAGCAGUGAAAUGCGUAGAUAUGCGGAGGAACACCGAUGGCGAAGGCAAUCCCCUGGACCUGUACUGACGCUCAUGCACGAAAGCGUGGGGAGCAAACAGGAUUAGAUACCCUUGUAGUCCCAUGA